CGAGACAAAUGGCAAACGGGGUGAAAGCUCCGGACGCAAAGCUGCAGACCCUAACCUGGAAUGACAGGAGGGUGGCUGGGUUACCUCG
rnacentral:ncRNA from 1 species